rnacentral:rRNA from 1 species
GACUUUGAUCUUUUUGGGGCUUGCGGCUUUACCUUUAAACACCAAGUCAAAGAAUGUAAUAAAACCAUAACAAAAGAAAACUUUCAACAACGGAUCUCUUGGCUCUCGCAUCGAUGAAGAACGCAGCGAAAUGUGAUAAGUAAUGUGAAUUGCAGAAUUCAGUGAAUCAUCGAAUCUUUGAACGCACCUUGCGCUCUCUGGUAUUCCGGAGAGCAUGCCUGUUUGAGUGUCAUGAACUCUUCAACCCACCGGUUCCUUGUUGGAUCGAGUUGGUGUUUGGAUUUUGAGCGCUUGCUAAUUUAAUUACUAGCUCGCUCGUAAUACAUUAGCAUCUCAAUUUUGAUAUUCGGAUUGACUCGGCGUAAUAGACUAUUCGCUGAGGACACUAGUAAUGGUGUCCGAAUAUGGAAAAAGCUAGAAGCUUCUAAUCAAUCUAGUCAACCUAAGAUUAGACCUCAGAUCAGGCAGGAUUACCCGCUGAACUUAAGCAUAUCAAUAAGCGGAG